UACGUAGGUGGCAAGCGUUGUCCGGAAUUAUUGGGCGUAAAGCGUACGCAGGCGGCUUGGCAAGUCGAGUGUGAAAGCCCAGGGCUCAACCCCGGAACUGCAUUCGAUACUGCUAGGCUUGAGUGCGGGAGAGGGAAGCGGAAUUCCUGGUGUAGAGGUGAAAUUCGUAGAUAUCAGGAGGAACACCGGUGGCGAAAGCGGCUUCCUGGCCCGACACUGACGCUCAUGUACGAAAGCGUGGGGAGCAAACAGG
rnacentral:rRNA from 1 species